AUUGAACGCUGGCGGCAUGCCUUACACAUGCAAGUCGAACGGCAGCACGGGAGCAAUCCUGGUGGCGAGUGGCGAACGGGUGAGUAAUAUAUCGGCACGUGCCCAGUCGUGGGGGAUAACGCAGCGAAAGCUGUGCUAGUACCGCAUACGAUCUACGGAUGAAAGCGGGGGAUCGCAAGACCUCGCGCGAUUGGAGCGGCCGAUAUCAGAUUAGCUAGUUGGUGAGGUAAAGGCUCACCAAGGCGACGAUCUGUAGCUGGUCUGAGAGGACGACCAGCCACACUGGAACUGAGACACGGUCCAGACUCCUACGGGAGGCAGCAGUGGGGAAUUUUGGACAAUGGGCGCAAGCCUGAUCCAGCAAUGCCGCGUGCAGGAUGAAGGCCUUCGGGUUGUAAACUGCUUUUGUACGGAACGAAACGGCGAGCUCUAAUACAGUUUGCUAAUGACGGUACCGUAAGAAUAAGCACCGGCUAACUACGUGCCAGCCGCCGCAGUAAAAC
rnacentral:rRNA from 1 species